AACCUUGUGCAGUGGCAAUAUCUCAAGCCAUGAAGUCCAAACUGAGCUGAGAUUAUUGCUAGUUGAAAACUAAAACCAAUAGCUCGCCCAGCAGGAAGAUCAACGGUCUUCUAACUGAGGCAAUUUUUUCAGGCCCUUAGAGGC